UGCAUCUGCAGCUCAUGAGGAUGAGAACCUCCGGGGGCAGGGAGGUUCGACUCGAGCGAAGCGAGAGAACGUUGCGCCAGC
rnacentral:sRNA from 1 species